ACUCCUACGGGAGGCAGCAGUGGGAAUAUUGCACAAUGGGCGCAAGCCUGAUGCAGCGACGCCGCGUGGGAUGGACGCCUCGGGCUUGUAAACCUCUUUCAAUAGGGACGAAGCGCAAGUGACGGUACCUAUAGAAGAGCACCGGCCAACUACGUGCCAGCAGCCGCGGUAAUACGUAGGGUGCGAGCGUUGUCCGGAAUUACUGGGCGUAAAGAGCUCGUAGGCGGUUUGUCACGUCUGCUGUGAAAAUCCAAGGCUCAACCUUGGACUUGCAGUGGGUAC
rnacentral:rRNA from 1 species